GGUUUUGGCUUCUGGAUUGUAGAGAGAGCUAAUAGAGGUGCCUCAGGCUGCCUCCCACCCAUGAUCCUGAGGACUGGAGUUAGAGCUAGAAUUCAGCCCACAGGUUUGGAGUAGGAAAUAAAAUGCCCUAGAACAAAGAGUUGUUACAAAAGACAAGGUUUCAACUAUGUAUCCCUGUCCACCCUGGCAUUCACCAUGUAUUCCAAGGUGACCUAGAACUUCAAGGAAAUCUGCCUGCCUCUACUAACGCAGACCCGCAAAGCCCUUAUCACAAUAAAGUCUUAAAAUCAGGAAAUGAAUCCUGUUCAUUCCAGUUCACUCACUCAUGAUGCCAGGGAUUGUUCAGUUAUCACCGUAAACAGAUUCUGUAAUAGCAGACAUCACCCCACCCUUCACCGGUCCUGAAUGGGGAAAGGUGGGGGCCAUGGGGGAGAAAUAAAAAACCGAUGGGGAACG
rnacentral:lncRNA from 1 species